rnacentral:rRNA from 1 species
UACAGAGGGCGCAAGCGUUAUUCGGGAUUACUGGGCGUAAAGCGCAUGUAGGCGGUUUAGUAAGUCUGGUGUGAAAUCCCUCGACUCAAUCGGGGAAGUGCAUUGGAUACUGCUAGACUAGAGUAUGGGAGAGGUGAGUGGAAUUCCAGGUGUAGAGGUGAAAUUCGUAGAUAUCUGGAGGAACAACAGAGGCGAAGGAGGCUCACUGGACCAUUACUGACGCUGAGAUGCGAAAGCGUGGGGAGCAAACAGG